CAGAGAGAUAUGGUAGAUGGGCUAGAAGAGCAUGACAUAUACUGUUGUGUCGAUAUUUUCUCCUCGGACCUUGAAAAUUUAUGGUGGGGACACGCAAACUUCUCAACAGGCCGUACCAAUAUCCGCAGCUGGUCUCCAAGGUGAAGAGUCUCUAGUCGAUAGAAUAAUGUAGGUAAGGGAAGUCGGCAAAUUAGAUCCGUAACUUCGGGAUAAGGAUUGGCUCUGAAGAUUGAGAUAGUCGGGCUUGAUUGGGAAACAAUAACAUGGUUUAUGUGCUCGUUCUGGGUAAAUAGAGUUUCUAGCAUUUAUGUUAGUUACUUGUUCCCCGGAUAGUUUAGUUACGUAGCCAAUUGUGGAACUUUCUUGCUAAAAUUUUUAAGAAUACUAUUUGGGUUAAACCAAUUAGUUCUUAUCAAUUAUAACGAUUAUCAAUUAACAAUCAAUUCAGAACUGGCACGGACUUGGGGAAUCCGACUGUCUAAUUAAAACAAAGCAUUGUGAUGGCCCUAGCGGGUGUUGACACAAUGUGAUUUCUGCCCAGUGCUCUGAAUGUCAAAGUGAAGAAAUUCAAGUAAGCGCGGGGUGCGGCAAUCUACCACACUCUAUCCGACUGGCCAGAACCGUCUUCAUCCCGAAGACGGUGACGGCGAAGCGACCGCAAGACUUUCGUCCAAUAUCGGUGCCUUCAGUCCUGGUAAGACAGCUAAAUGCAAUAUUGGCAACCCGGUUGAACUCAUCAAUCAAUUGGGACCCGCGCCAGCGGGGCUUCUUACCUACCGACGGAUGUGCCGAUAACGCGACGAUAGUUGACUUAGUCUUGAGGCAUAUCCAUAAGCACUUUAGAUCUUGCUACAUUGCAAAUUUAGAUGUAAGCAAGGCAUUCGAUUCUUUAUCGCAUGCAUCUAUAUAUGACACCUUACGUGCUUAUGGUGCGCCAAAGGGCUUCGUUGACUACGUACAGAAUACGUACGAGGGUGGCGGUACCAGUCUCAAUGGGGACGGUUGGAGUUCAGAGGAAUUCGUCCCUGCUAGAGGAGUGAAGCAGGGUGACCCUUUGUCUCCUAUUCUAUUUAACUUGGUAAUGGACAGGUUACUUAGAAACCUACCCAGCGAAAUUGGUGCCAGAGUCGGAAAUGCCAUUACUAACGCGGCCGCGUUUGCAGAUGAUUUGGUACUAUUUGCUGAAACUCGAAUGGGACUUCAAGUAUUGUUGGACAGAACGUUGGAUUUUCUAUCUCUCGUCGGCCUCAAACUUAAUGCCGACAAAUGUUUUACCGUUGGCAUUAAGGGCCAGCCGAAACAGAAGUGUACCGUGCUAGAGGCACAGAGCUUUUACGUAGGCUCAAGGGAGAUUCCAUCAUUGAAGCGAACGGACGAGUGGAAGUACUUAGGCAUCAACUCACU
rnacentral:ncRNA from 1 species